rnacentral:rRNA from 1 species
UACUCCUACGGGAGGCAGCAGUAGGGAAUCUUCCGCAAUGGACGAAAGUCUGACGGAGCAACGCCGCGUGAGUGAUGAAGGCUUUCGGGUCGUAAAACUCUGUUGUUAGGGAAGAACAAGUACGAGAGUAACUGCUCGUACCUUGACGGUACCUAACCAGAAAGCCACGGCUAACUACGUGCCAGCAGCCGCGGUAAUU